rnacentral:lncRNA from 1 species
GCCCUAUUCCCUUCUCUCCCCUCUCUCUCUAUAUAUAUAUCUCUAAUUCCUUUCUUGCUCCUAUUGUAAUUAAACUCCAAAAAAGGCUGACGGCUGACUUGAGUUUUUCAUUUAGGAAUUACAUAGCUGAUUCCUUGGCGACCUUAAAUUAAUAUAUAUCAGUCUUUUAAAGUGAUUCCCUUGUAACAUUGUGGCUGACCACACGGGAGUCUAAAGAAUCCUCUCAAUAAAACUUUUUCCUUGCCUUUUUACUAUACUGUUUCACCACUUAGUCCUUUUUUUUUUAAAAAAAAAAAAAAACUUGGCUUAAAGACACAGCUGCUAGAACACGUGAGUAUAAAAAACUUUUUCUCUUUUCUCCUUAAGUUAAAUUGGAAUCAGCAGUUUUUUCUUUUUUCUUCCCUUUAAUCUUAAGGGACAGCUGGGUAGCUCAGCGGAUUGAGAGCCAGCCCUAGAGGCAGAAGGUCCUGGGUUCAAAUCGGACCUCAGAUACUUCCCAGCUGUGUGACUCUGAUAGACAGAAAACAGCUGUUUUUAAAUCUCAGCAACAGGACUCUAAAGUCCUGGCUGGAAGAACUGUUUCUAAAUAUCCUUUCCCUUAAGGAACAACUUCCUGGAUUAAAAAAAAAAAACCCUGUGGAAAGUUUGUUGCUUUGCCCUGCUCCCCACGUGUUUUGUGAAAUUACAAAAUAUACAUAUAAAAAUGAGUACUACAUUCUUUGACAAUUAUAUGGCAGCUGAAGAAGUAGGGGCAUUGAGGAAUGAAGGAUACCUCCAAAUUUUUAUAUUAAUAGGUACUGUCAUUUUUGUACUCCUCAAUACUAUAUUUAGAGAUGAAAAAAUAAAAAAUAUUGAGGAUAAAAUAAAACAAAAUGAGGAUAAAAUAAAACAAAAUGAGGAUAAAAUAAAACAAAAUGAGGAUAAAAUAAAACAAAAUGAGGAUAAAAUAGAAAAUAUUGAGGAUAAAAUAGAAAAUGUUGAGGAUAAAAUGAAAAAAAAUGAAGAUAAAAUAGAAAAUAUUGAGGAUAAAAUAGAAAAUAUUGAGGAUAAAAUAGAAAAAAUUGAGGAUACAAUAGAAAAAAUUGAGGAUAAAAUAGGAAAUAUUGAGAAUAAAAUAGAAAAACUUGAGGAUAAAAUAGGAAAUAUUGAGAAUAAAAUAGGAAAUAUUGAGGAUAAAAUGGGAGAUAUGGAAGAUAAAAUAGGAAAAAUUGAGGAUAAAAUGCAAGCCCAAUUAGAAGAUCUAAAAAGUUUCUUACAGGAUCAAUUGGCAAAAAACCACUCUACCAGAAACAGACCUGUUUCUGAACCUUUGAAUGAGGAAAUUUCCUUCCCUGAAAUAGAGAUGGAAAACACCUUCCCUAUAGCCCAGUUAACAGACUGCUUCUCUCGUGUAGUGCAAAUCUUGUCUGAAUUUAAUCCCCAAAACCCUUCCCCUGCAAUCCCAGCUUCUCAUGUUCCUUCUCCUACAGAAAACCAAAUUCCAAUGCAAGGGAGAUCUUGUCCUCCUAGAGAAACCUGUCCUUGUCAAACUGACCCACAGGUGCAAAAUUCAACUAGAGGCCUGUUUCCUCUAAGAGAAGUACCUGAAAUAGGACGAAAUGGGGAUGUGGUGACUUUAAGACAUAGGAUACCGUUUACUCCCCAAGAAAUAAAUGAAUUUACACGAAAUAUCCCCACAUAUGAACAAGAUCCUUUUCUAGUAACAAAAAAGAUGGGAGACAUAUUUUUUCAAUAUAAUCCGUCUUACAAGGACGUUGAGAGCUUACUACAGGCUUUUUUAAGUGAACGUGAAAAAAAUAAAAUAAUUGCUCAUGUCAACAAAACCCGGGGGCGUAAUGCAGCACAUUGGCCAUCUCAGGAUCCCGAAUGGGACUAUAAUAAUCCUGAGGACUAUCUACAACUAUACCGUUGUAGAGAGGCCAUCCUCACAGCCAUGAAGGAAUGUGCGGACAGUACAGAUAAGUGGAUGGAACUGGAAAAAAUUAAGCAAAAGGAAAACGAAACACCCUCCAGAUUUAUGGACAGAAUUAUCGAGUUUGGGGACAGAUACUUAGAUUGGGACUUAAAUAAAGAGAAUAGUUUAAGACAAGUUAGAAGAAUCUUUGUAAAUAAUUCAUGCAAAGUAAUUAAAAAUUAUUUUAAAACACAAUGCCCAAGAUGGUCAGAUAUGGACCUUGAAGAAUUGCGAAAAACAGCUAUAUAUGUUUUUAAGGGAAACGAAGAAAAGGAGAAAGAGAAUAAUGAUGACAUGGAGGAAAUGAAGAAAAAAAUGAGAUGUGUAAUAGAUAGGAUAACUAAAUUAGAAAGUGGGCAUGAUAAUGAACCAACGACAAUUGCCCCUCUCCAGAAAUCCAAUUAUCAAUCCAUUACUUGCCACUUCUGUGAGAAGAAGGGCCACAAAAUGAUGGAAUGUAGAACCUUUCUUAAGAUGUUUGGAAGGAAUACACAGUUUAAUAAUGGUUUUAGAAAUAAUAACUAUAGAAAUUAUGAUAAUGGUUAUAGAAACCAGAAUUCUAGAAAUUAUAAUAAUGACUAUGGAAAUAACUAUAAUGAAUAUAGAAAUAAGAACUUUAGAAACCAGAAUUAUAGAAAUAGGAAUUGGGAAUUUAAUGACAAUGCUCAAAUUGAAGAAAAUUUUAAUGAUAAUACUCAACAAUAUAUGAGAAAUGGCGCUCGUCCAAAAAUUACUCGAGGUACUAAUGACCCUCAGAGAGGUGCCCUUCAGGGGGGGUGCCCAAGGAAUAUCCCAAACACAAUGAUGAUGCCCGGGGGGGGCUGGGGCACAGGAAUCAGAGGAUACAACCUUUGAUUUCCCAGACCCUGAUGUCCUACUACCCGUUGUCCCUAUCCACUGCCCUCCCCAUACUAAUGAACCCCAU